AUUGAACGCUGGCGGCAGGCCUAACACAUGCAAGUCGAACGGUAACAGGGAUCAGCUUGCUGAUUCGCUGACGAGUGGCGGACGGGUGAGUCAUGUCUGGGAAACUGCCUGAUGGAGGGGGAUAACUACUGGAAACGGUAGCUAAUACCGCAUAACGUCGCAAGACCAAAGAGGGGGACCUUCGGGCCUCUUGCCAUCGGAUGUGCCCAGAUGGGAUUAGCUAGUAGGUGGGGUAACGGCUCACCUAGGCGACGAUCCCUAGCUGGUCUGAGAGGAUGACCAGCCACACUGGAACUGAGACACGGUCCAGACUCCUACGGGAGGCAGCAGUGGGGAAUAUUGCACAAUGGGCGCAAGCCUGAUGCAGCCAUGCCGCGUGUAUGAUGAAGGCCUUCGGGUUGUAAAGUACUUUCAGCGGGGAGGAAGGGAGUAAAGUUAAUACCUUCGCUCAUUGACGUUACCCGCAGAAGAAGCACCGGCUAACUCCGUG
rnacentral:rRNA from 1 species